UAGCUCAGUUGGUAGAGCAGAGGACUGAAAAUC
rnacentral:tRNA from 1 species